GUCUGAGAACACAUCCGUAGUACUGGUUUGAUUAGUUGAUAGGGCAAGGCCAUAGGAGGAUAAUUGACGUGCUUUGCCAAUUUUGCCCUUCUUUUCGGAGCUCAAUUUGGUCAUCCGCUUCACGGCAUAUCGGCCUCGUCUUCUCCGUUGGAGCACAAAAAAUACUGCGAUUGCAAUCAGAAUUAUUGCGGUGACGCCGACAGAUCCCCCGAUGAUCGCACCCAUUUGACGAGGGCUCAGAUUGUCAACCGGGGACUCCAUAUCGUUGUGCGCUGACAUAUCUAUUCCAGUUAGACCUGGACUUGUCCAUGUCUGCGUUGUGUUUUGUAAGGAGGAAGAUGGAACUCGAUCCGUUCUUGAGGGGUUAGGUUUCGAAGGAAUUAUAGCGAUCCCAGCAUUUACUCGAUGA
rnacentral:sRNA from 2 species